rnacentral:lncRNA from 1 species
CACUUAAUGAACGGCUCCUCUCAUCAAUGCGAUUCGGUUUCUAUCCUUUACCCAAACAGCGGUUCAAAGACCUACUUAGUUACAUCCUCUACUUCCGGAAACAACCGGAUAUUCUUGUGAAUCAGGAAGAACUUGAAAACAUCGGCAAUCAGAGCCAACAACGUGUAUUUAAGAAUUAAUGGACCAGUGAUUUGGAGAGUAACGUUGUAGUCGCUGUGUUUACGUCCCUUCUCCUCGCUAUUUGAUCACGUGUGUCUAUGUUGCGCUAACUCGCUUCAUUACCAAAAUUUGCUUGCUGUGUUGGUUGGUGGCUGGAGGCUCUGGAGAAACAGUGGCCAUCAAACCCUGAAUGACCAAGGCUUGGUCAUGAUGGACCAUAGGAGAGCCCUAACUAUUUCACUAGCCGUUGACAAGGUGGAUAACUCAAAAGGAAGUCCACUCAAAAUUCCCAAGACCCUCCGUUCUUCAGAGACAGGAUGUGGGAAUGAAGAGUCACAGGUAGAUGAUAUUCAUGUCCAGUCUCCUUACUCUUAA